GUUACAGUCGCCUAAGGGAUGGGCAUCAACCUUCUAAGUUGU
rnacentral:tRNA from 1 species